rnacentral:rRNA from 1 species
CCUACGGGUGGCAGCAGUGAGGAAUAUUGGUCAAUGGACGCAAGUCUGAACCAGCCAUGCCGCGUGCAGGAAGACGGCUCUAUGAGUUGUAAACUGCUUUUGUACGAGGGUAAAUCCCGAUACGUGUAUCGGGUUGAAAGUAUCGUACGAAUAAGGAUCGGCUAACUCCGUGCCAGCAGCCGCGGUAAUACGGAGGAUUCAAGCGUUAUCCGGAUUUAUUGGGUUUAAAGGGUGCGCAGGCGGAAGAUCAAGUCAGCGGUAAAAUUGAGAGGCUCAACCUCUUCGAGCCGUUGAAACUGGUUUUCUUGAGUGAGCGAGAAGUAUGCGGAAUGCGUGGUGUAGCGGUGAAAUGCAUAGAUAUCACGCAGAACUCCGAUUGCGAAGGCAGCAUACCGGCGCCCAACUGACGCUGAGGAGCGAAAGCGUGGGUAGCAAACAGGAUUAGAUACCCGGGUAGUC